AAUUCCGGUGAAGAUGCCGGAUACCUGCGACAGGACGGAAAGACCCCAUGGAGCUUUACUGUAGCUUGACAUUGGGUCUUGGUACUACAUGUACAGGAUAGGUGGGAGGCUUUGAAACCAGGACGCCAGUUUUGGCGGAGCCAUCCUUGGGAUACCACCCUUGUAGUACUGGGACUCUAACCAUAGGCCAUGAAUCUGGUCUUGGGACACUGUCAGGUGGGCAGUUUGACUGGGGCGGUCGCCUCCCAAAAGGUAACGGAGGCGCUCAAAGGUUCUCUCAGUACGGUCGGAAAUCGUACGUAGAGUGUAAAGGCAAAAGAG
rnacentral:rRNA from 1 species